rnacentral:rRNA from 1 species
CAGAACGCUGGCGGCGUGCCUAAUACAUGCAAGUCGAGCGAAUGGAUUAAGAGCUUGCUCUUAUGAAGUUAGCGGCGGACGGGUGAGUAACACGUGGGUAACCUGCCCAUAAGACUGGGAUAACUCCGGGAAACCGGGGCUAAUACCGGAUAACAUUUUGAACCGCAUGGUUCGAAAUUGAAAGGCGGCUUCGGCUGUCACUUAUGGAUGGACCCGCGUCGCAUUAGCUAGUUGGUGAGGUAACGGCUCACCAAGGCAACGAUGCGUAGCCGACCUGAGAGGGUGAUCGGCCACACUGGGACUGAGACACGGCCCAGACUCCUACGGGAGGCAGCAGUAGGGAAUCUUCCGCAAUGGACGAAAGUCUGACGGAGCAACGCCGCGUGAGUGAUGAAGGCUUUCGGGUCGUAAAACUCUGUUGUUAGGGAAGAACAAGUGCUAGUUGAAUAAGCUGGCACCUUGACGGUACCUAACCAGAAAGCCACGGCUAACUACGUGCCAGCAGCCGCGGUAAUACGUAGGUGGCAAGCGUUAUCCGGAAUUAUUGGCGUAAAGCGCGCGCAGGUGGUUUCUUAAGUCUGAUGUGAAAGCCCACGGCUCACCGUGGAGGGUCAUUGGAAACUGGGAGACUUGAGUGCAGAAGAGGAAGUGGAAUUUCAUGUGUAGCGGUGAAAUGCGUAGAGAUAUGGAGGAACACCAGUGGCGAAUGCGACUUUCUGGUCUGUAACUGACACUGAGGCGCGAAGCGUGGGGAGCAAAAGGAUUAGAUACCCUGUAGUCACGCGUAAACGAUGAGUGCU